GUGAAUCAUCGAAUCUUUGAACGCAAAUUGCACUCUCUUUGGAGAGUAUGCCUGUUUGAGGGUCAGUAAUAAUAAAAUCGGGGUGUUGCUCUUUUGUGACACAACGGAGUUUGGGCUACCUUUGACUUUCUGGUUUUAAGCGACUUAAAAUUUUCUUUUUGGUUCCAUGAACGUUUCUAAGAUUUAUUUCUUUACACGUUUAAGGGUAUCGAUUUUUAUUAGACGUGACCAUCAUAUCGGAUCGCGUCCAUAAUCUUUCAUUAACUGACCUCAGACAGGUAAGAGUACCCGCUGAACUUAA
rnacentral:misc_RNA from 1 species